rnacentral:rRNA from 1 species
CGAAAGCCUGACGGAGCAAUACCGCGUGAGGGAUGAAGGCCUUUGGGUUGUAAACCUCUUUUAUCAAGGAGGAAGUUCUGACGUGUACUUGAUGAAUAAGCAUCGGCUAACUCCGUGCCAGCAGCCGCGGUAAGACGGAGGAUGCAAGUGUUAUCCGGAAUGAUUGGGCGUAAAGCGUCCGCAGGUGGCAAUGUAAGUCUGCUGUUAAAGAGUCUAGCUCAACUAGAUAAGAGCAGUGGAAACUACAUAGCUAGAGUACGUUCGGGGCAGAGGGAAUUCCUGGUGUAGCGGUGAAAUGCGUAGAGAUCAGGAAGAACACCGGUGGCGAAGGCGCUCUGCUAGGCCGUAACUGACACUGAGGGACGAAAGCUAGGGGAGCG